UGCCCAGCAACUCCUAUCCCUACCUCCACGCGGUACCGGCCGGAAACUAUGAGCAACCCCGGUGGGAACUUUGGUCGUAGGCUGACAGGGAAGG
rfam:Aedes albopictus isolate Foshan contig63278, whole genome shotgun sequence.